UGUAAGAUCAGCUAUUAAUAGGCUAUUGGGCUCAUGCCCCAACAGAGGAUUUUCCUCUUACAU
rnacentral:tRNA from 1 species